AGUGAACGCUGGCGGCGUGCCUAAUACAUGCAAGUCGAACGGAAUUUAAAAGAGCUUGCUCUUUUAAAUUUAGUGGCGCACGGGUGAGUAAUAUAUAGCUAAUCUGCCCCUUGCUGGAGGACAACAGUUAGAAAUGACUGCUAAUACUCCAUACUCCUUUUUACCAUAAGAUAAAUCGGGAAAGAAUUUCGGCAAGGGAUGAGACUAUAUCGUAUCAGCUAGUCGGUGGGGUAACGGCCUACCGAGGCUAUGACGCGUAACUGGUCUGAGAGGAUGAUCAGUCACAUUGGAACUGAGACACGGUCCAAACUCCUACGGGAGGCAGCAGUAGGGAAUAUUGCGCAAUGGGGGAAACCCUGACGCAGCAACGCCGCGUGGAGGAUGACACUUUUCGGAGCGUAAACUCCUUUUGUUAGGGAAGAAUAAUGACGGACCUAACGAAUAAGCACCGCA
rnacentral:rRNA from 1 species